rnacentral:rRNA from 1 species
AAUACAUCGGAAUCUACUCUGUCGUGGGGGAGUAACGUAGGGAAACUUACGCUAAUACCGCAUACGACCUACGGGUGAAGCAGGGAUCUUCGGACCUUGCGCGAUUGAAUGAGCCGAUGUCGGAUUAGCUAGUUGGCGGGGUAAAGGCCCACCAAGGCGACGAUCCGUAGCUGGUCUGAGAGGAUGAUCAGCCACACUGGAACUGAGACACGGUCCAGACUCCUACGGGAGGCAGCAGUG